CCUUCGGGGUACUCGAGCGGCGAACGGGUGAGUAACACGUGAGUAAUCUGCCCCAGGCUCUGGGAUAGCCACCGGAAACGGUGAUUAAUACCGGAUAUGACAACCGAUCGCAUGAUCUGGUUGUGGAAAGUUUUUCGGCCUGGGAUGUGCUCGCGGCCUAUCAGCUUGUUGGUGAGGUAAUGGCUCACCAAGGCUUCGACGGGUAGCCGGCCUGAGAGGGUGACCGGCCACACUGGGACUGAGACACGGCCCAGACUCCUACGGGAGGCAGCAGUGGGGAAUAUUGGACAAUGGGCGGAAGCCUGAUCCAGCAACGCCGCGUGAGGGAUGACGGCCUUCGGGUUGUAAACCUCUUUCAGCACAGACGAAGCGAAAGUGACGGUAUGUGCAGAAGAAGGACCGGCCAACUACGUGCCAGCAGCCGCGGUAAUACGUAGGGUCCGAGCGUUGUCCGGAAUUAUUGGGCGUAAAGGGCUCGUAGGCGGUCUGUCGCGUCGGGAGUGAAAACCAGGUGCUUAACACCUGGCCUGCUUCCGAUACGGGCAGACUAGAGGUACUCAGGGGAGAAUGGAAUUCCUGGUGUAGCGGUGAAAUGCGCAGAUAUCAGGAGGAACACCGGUGGCGAAGGCGGUUCUCUGGGAGUAUCCUGACGCUGAGGAGCGAAAGUGUGGGGAGCGAACAGGAUUAGAUACCCUGGUAGUCCACACCGUAAACGUUGGGCGCUAGGUGUGGGACACAUU
rnacentral:rRNA from 1 species